rnacentral:rRNA from 1 species
AACGAACGUUUGCGGCGGGCCUAACACAUGCAAGUCGAACGCACUAGCAAUAGUGAGUGGCGCACGGGUGCGUAACACGUGGGUAAUCAACCCUUCAGCCUGGGAUAACGACUCGAAAGGGUCGCUAAUACCGGAUACGGCGCGAGAGGCUUCGGCUUCUCACGAGAAAGCCACGCAAGGGGCACUGAAGGACGAGCCUGCGGCCCAUCAGCUAGUUGGUGAGGUAAGAGCUCACCAAGGCUAAGACGGGUAGCUGGUCUGAGAGGAUGAUCAGCCACACUGGAACUGAGACACGGUCCAGACUCCUACGGGAGGCAGCAGUGGGGAAUAUUGCGCAAUGGGCGAAAGCCUGACGCAGCCACGCCGCGUGAGCGAUGAAGGCCUCGGUCGUAAGAC